AGAGAGAGACAUGCGCGCAUAUCAAUAAGCGGAGGAAAAGAAACUAACAUAGGAUUCCCUCAGUAACGGCGAGUGAAGCGGGAAGAGCUCAAAUUUGAAAUCUUCAAGGUUCUACCUUGACGAAUUGUAGUUUAAAGAAGUGUUUUCUGCUGAAGUUUUGGUAAAAGUUCUUUGGAAUAGGACAUCAUAGAGGGUGAGAAUCCCGUAUUUGACCAUUAUUUUCUAGCUUUGUGGAUACACUUCCAAAGAGUCGGAUUGUUUGGGAAUGCAGUCCAAAAUGGGUGGUAAAUUUCAUCUAAAGCUAAAUAUUGGCGAGAGACCGAUAGCGAACAAGUACCGUGAGGGAAAGAUGAAAAGAACUUUGAAAAGAGAAUUAAACAGUACGUGAAAUUGUCAAAAGGGAAGCGUUUGACACCAGUGUUGUUUUCUCGAAAAUCAAUUAAAAAUGGCUCGAUUUUGUAUUGUUGAGACCUUAAAAGCUCACUGUACAUUUUUCGUGUCUUUUUUAAUGCACUUUUCGUUUAACAAGUCAACAUCAAUUUCUUUUGUUGUAAAAGGGUCAUUGGAAGGUGGCUUUCUUUUCGGAGAAAGUGUUUAUAGCCUUUGGCCUCUGCAAUCGAAGAGACUGAGGUCUGCAGCGUAGACUCUUCGGGGUUAGAUACAUUUGUGCUAAGUUAUAGCUUUUUAUAGACAACUUGUUGACUAUAAUUAGUCUUGUAGCUUACUCGCUUAUGCUACUUUUACCUACGCUUAGGAUGUUGAAGUCAUCGUAUCGCGC
rnacentral:rRNA from 1 species